ACAGGUGCUGCAUGGCUGUCGUCAGCUCGUGUCGUGAGAUGUUGGGUUAAGUCCCGCAACGAGCGCAACCCUUGUCCUAUGUUGCCAGCACGUAAUGGUGGGGACUCGUAGGAGACUGCCGGGGUCAACUCGGAGGAAGGUGGGGACGACGUCAAGUCAUCAUGCCCCUUAUGUCCAGGGCUGCAAACAUGCUACAAUGGCCAGUACAAAGGGCUGCGAAACCGCGAGGUCGAGCGAAUCCCACAAAGCUGGUCUCAGUUCGGAUCGGAGUCUGCAACUCGACUCCGUGAAGCUGGAGUUGCUAGUAAUCCCGGAUCAGCAACGCCGGGGUGAAUACGUUCCCGGGUCUUGUACACACGC
rnacentral:rRNA from 1 species